GGAGGGGCCCGGAGAUGGUNACUGAGACACGGACCCAGGCCCUAUGGGGCGCAGCAGGCGAGAAACCUUUGCAAUGUGCGAAAGCACGACAAGGUUAAUCCGAGUGUCUCCUGCUAAAGGAGUCUUUUGUCAGUUGUAGAAUCACUGGUGAAUAAGGGGUGGGCAAGUUCUGGUGUCAGCCGCCGCGGUAAAACCAGCACCUCGAGUGGUCAGGAGGUUUAUUGGGCCUAAAGCAUCCGUAGCCGGUUGCAUAAGUUUUCGGUUAAAUCUAUGCGCUUAACGUAUAGGCCGCCGAAAAUACUGUGCAGCUAGGGAGUGGGAGAGGUACACGGUACUCGAUAGGAAGGGGUAAAAUCCUUUGAUCUAUUGAAGACCACCUGUGGCGAAGGCGGUGUACCAGAACACGUUCGACGGUGAGGGAUGAAAGCUGGGGGAGCAAACCGGAUUAGAUACCCGGGUAGUCCCAGCUGUAAACGAUGCAGACUCGGUGAUGCAUUGGCUUGUGGCCAAUGCAGUGCCGCAGGGAAGCCGUUAAGUCUGCCGCCUGGGAAGUACGUACGCAAGUAUGAAACUAAAGGAAUUGGCGGGGGAGCACCACAAGGGAUGAGCCUGCGGUUCAAUUGGAGUCAACGCCA
rnacentral:rRNA from 1 species